rnacentral:lncRNA from 1 species
AUGGCCAAAUCGGAGCAAAAGAAGUAGCGGAUGAGCCACAAAUCGCGGGUAAAGUCCCACGAUGCCUCAACGAGAAAAAUAAAAAAUCACUUCCGAUGAGCUCCUUCUCGUUUCCCGUUUCGUGCGAUUUUUCUACCAUUGUGUUCACCAUUAUGUUCUCUACAGGUUGACUAAUGAAAAAUGCACAGCCGCGAAGAUGAGCCGACGGAGCCACCGCACCGAAAAAUCCCGCCGCUGGUUGCCAAUCGAGACCCUUUAACGUGUUUUCUCGCAGGGAUGGGUAUAAAAUGGGCCGAAAACGAC